UUUGAGGGACCUCAUUUGGGGUCAGGAGAAAAAACUGGUUUUCCUCCUCCCCGCAGCCUUUUACUGGAGACAUUUAAAGGCAAGGCAGAGCUUUCACUCUCCAUCCCAGAAGCCCUUGAAGAUGCAGAGCUGGAAGGACGCGUAGAGGGGAGUUGCGUCCCCUCGCUGACUGAUGCACCGUGACACGGGGUGUAGAGGAGAUUCAGCACUUUGUCACUUCGGCAGUUGGCAACAGAUGCGUUUUGUGAUACGAGCAGCAAAUUUGCACCUUGCGUGGCUCUGAAAACUUCCGUUUCCUUUGCCGCCGUAACGAACCGGGGACGCAGAGGAUCAAGCACGCAAAGGAAUUUCAGGGAAAAGUUUUUUAACAAACCUUCCUCCAGCUCAAGGUCAGACCCUGCCACGUGCAUAUACCGUGUUUUACAUUCAGACUCGCACAGAUUUCUGUUAUUAAGAGAAGAAAUUUAUCCUCGGUGCCUGAACUCCCUAAAAUGUGGUAAGUAGUAACCCCCGAAAGCAGAGCCGCUGGGCGCAGUCCCGGGAGGCGCUGACGUGAUUCCCGCUGACGGCGGGGCAGUAGGUAUGACCUGCUACCGCCGGAUCCGCGGGCAGCUUGGAGAGAGUUAACUAUCGGCUAUAUUAUCAGUGUUACCUGCAGACAAUUAACGAUCAGCUCUGUUACCCGUGCUAUUUGCACUGGAACGGCCACGAUACCCACCAGAAGCUCAUGUAUUUUGUUCCCACCACAUGCAAACACACUGUUAUGCCCAUUUCUGCCCUCCCGACCCCCAUAGCCACAGUUUUUCCUUUUUUCAUUUGCCAUCAAGCCAUUCCUAUAUUUCCUGUGUUCUGGGAGACCUUAUUGCGCCUUCCAGUGCUUCAAGGGGACUAUAGGAAGGAUGGGGGUGACCCCUUUAGCAAGGCCUGCUGUGGCAGGACAAGGGGUGAUGGUUUAAACUAAAGGAGGGGAGAUUUAGACUGGGUAUAAGGAAAAAUUUUUCUCGAUGAGGGUGGUGAAACCCUGGCCCAGGUUGCCCCGAGAGGUGGUCGAUGCCGCAUCCCUGGAAACAUUCAAGGCCAGGCUGGACGGGGCUCUGGGUGACCUGGUCUGGUUGAAGGUGUCCCUGCUCACUGCAGGGGGUUGGGCUGGUGCCUCUAUAGGUCCCUCCCAACCCAAACCAUUCAGUGAUUCUAUAUUUCCUUUUUUUUUUUUUUUUUUUUUUUUUUUGUGAUAGGCUCCCUGGCUUUCUCUCCAGAUAUAUUUGAACCUUAUUUUCCCACUUUUCAGCUGAGCUCUCUCCCCAUCACAAUGCAAAUGAACACAUUUGUACGACUUCAUCUAUCAGGAGAGCCCUAUCAUUGUCCCUCAGCUGCCCAAAAUUAAAACAAUCCAUUUCUGUUGGCUGUGGACCUUCACACCACGUGCCAGCAAGGACUGCCCUGGGGACAGGACCUCCAGCCUCAUGAACGGGACGCUUAGAGAGAGCCGUCAUUAAAAUUGCAGCAGCUUCUGCUCUUGCCUAGGCGCUGGGAGCUGGGACACGGUGGCAGCGGGAGGGAAAGGAGGAGGAGGAUGGAGAGGGCGGCCGUGCCGAGCUGCGCUAGCCUCCAAGCACGUUUUGCCCGGGAAGCCCGGGGCUGUGGAAGGUGAGCUCUUCGCCCCCGCCACGAAACUCUUGUUCGAUUUCAUUCUAUCUCAGUGAUAUAAAUCUUUGAUCUUUA